rnacentral:rRNA from 1 species
GGUUUUGGAUGGACUCGCGGCCUAUCAGCUUGUUGGUGGGGUAAUGGCCUACCAAGGCGACGACGGGUAGCCGGCCUGAGAGGGUGACCGGCCACACUGGGACUGAGACACGGCCCAGACUCCUACGGGAGGCAGCAGUGGGGAAUAUUGCACAAUGGGCGCAAGCCUGAUGCAGCGACGCCGCGUGAGGGAUGACGGCCUUCGGGUUGUAAACCUCUUUCAGUAGGGAAGAAGCGAGAGUGACGGUACCUGCAGAAGAAGCGCCGGCUAACUACGUGCCAGCAGCCGCGGUAAUACGUAGGGCGCAAGCGUUAUCCGGAAUUAUUGGGCGUAAAGAGCUCGUAGGCGGUUUGUCGCGUCUGCCGUGAAAGUCCGGGGCUCAACUCCGGAUCUGCGGUGGGUACGGGCAGACUAGAGUGAUGUAGGGGAGACUGGAAUUCCUGGUGUAGCGGUGAAAUGCGCAGAUAUCAGGAGGAACACCGAUGGCGAAGGCAGGUCUCUGGGCAUUAACUGACGCUGAGGAGCGAAAGCAUGGGGAGCGAACAGGAUUAGAUACCCUGGUAGUCCAUGCCGUAAACGUUGGGCACUAGGUGUGGGGGACAUUCCACGUUUUCCGCGCCGUAGC